AGGAGGAACAGCCCCAGUGGCGGGGCAGCUCUGGAGCCUGGAUUCAGCCCCCGCAGGAACUCCGGAGCUCUCCGUCUGCAGGGCCUGGAGGCUCCGGGGCGGG
rnacentral:pre_miRNA from 1 species